CCUACGGGAGGCAGCAGUGAGGAAUAUUGGUCAAUGGACGAGAGUCUGAACCAGCCAAGUAGCGUGAAGGAUGACUGCCCUAUGGGUUGUAACCUUCUUUUAUAUGGGAAUAAAAUGUUCCACGUGUGGGAUUUUGUAUGUACCAUAUGAAUAAGGAUCGGCUAACUCCGUGCCAGCAGCCGCGGUAAUACGGAGGAUCCGAGCGUUAUCCGGAUUUAUUGGGUUUAAAGGGAGCGUAGAUGGUUUGUUAAGUCAGUUGUGAAAGUUUGCGGCUCAACCGUAAAAUUGCAGUUGAUACUGACAGUCUUGAGUACAGUAGAGGUGGGCGGAAUUCGUGGUGUAGCGGUGAAAUGCUUAGAUAUCACGAAGAACUCCGAUUGCGAAGGCAGCUAACUGGACUGCAACUGACACUGAGGCGCGAAAGUGUGGGUAUCAAACAGGAUUAGAUACCCUUGUAGUC
rnacentral:rRNA from 1 species